GGAUAACUUACCCUUAGGACUGGGAUAACUCUGGGAAACUGGGGAUAAUACUGGAUAUUAGGCUAUGCCUGGAAUGGUUUGCCUUUGAAAUGUUUUUUCGCCUAAGGAUAGGUCUGCGGCUGAUUAGGUCGUUGGUGGGGUAAUGGCCCACCAAGCCGAUGAUCGGUACGGGUUGUGAGAGCAAGGGCCCGGAGAUGGAACCUGAGACAAGGUUCCAGACCCUACGGGGUGCAGCAGGCGCGAAACCUCCGCAAUGUACGAAAGUGCGACGGGGGGAUCCCAAGUGUUAUGCUUUUUUGUAUGACUUUUCAUUAGUGUAAAAAGCUUUUAGAAUAAGAGCUGGGCAAGACCGGUGCCAGCCGCCGCGGUAACACCGGCAGCUCGAGUGGUAGCUGUUUUUAUUGGGCCUAAAGCGUUCGUAGCCGGUUUGAUAUGUCUUUGGUGAAAGCUUGUAGCUUAACUAUAAGAAUUGCUGGAGAUACUAUCAGACUUGAAGUCGGGAGAGGUUAGAGGUACUACCGGGGUAGGGGUGAAAUCCUAUAAUCCUGGGAGGACCACCUGUGGCGAAGGCGUCUAACUAGAACGAUCUUGACGGUGAGUAACGAAAGCCAGGGGCGCGAACCGGAUUAGAUACCCGGGUAGUCCUGGCCGUAAACGAUGUGGACUUGGUG
rnacentral:rRNA from 1 species